AGCGUACACGGUGGAUGCCCUGGCAGUCAGAGGCGAUGAAGGACGUGCUAAUCUGCGAUAAGCGUCGGUAAGGUGAUAUGAACCGUUAUAACCGGCGAUUUCCGAAUGGGGAAACCCAGUGUGUUUCGACACACUAUCAUUAACUGAAUCCAUAGGUUAAUGAGGCGAACCGGGGGAACUGAAACAUCUAAGUACCCCGAGGAAAAGAAAUCAACCGAGAUUCCCCCAGUAGCGGCGAGCGAACGGGGAGGAGCCCAGAGCCUGAAUCAGUGUGUGUGUUAGUGGAAGCGUCUGGAAAGGCGCGCGAUACAGGGUGACAGCCCCGUACACAAAAAUGCACAUAUUGUGAGCUCGAUGAGUAGGGCGGGACACGUGGUAUCCUGUCUGAAUAUGGGGGGACCAUCCUCCAAGGCUAAAUACUCCUGACUGACCGAUAGUGAACCAGUACCGUGAGGGAAAGGCGAAAAGAACCCCGGCGAGGGGAGUGAAAAAGAACCUGAAACCGUGUACGUACAAGCAGUGGGAGCCUCUUUUAUGGGGUGACUGCGUACCUUUUGUAUAAUGGGUCAGCGACUUAUAUUCUGUAGCAAGGUUAACCGAAUAGGGGAGCCGAAGGGAAACCGAGUCUUAACUGGGCGUUAAGUUGCAGGGUAUAGACCCGAAACCCGGUGAUCUAGCCAUGGGCAGGUUGAAGGUUGGGUAACACUAACUGGAGGACCGAACCGACUAAUGUUGAAAAAUUAGCGGAUGACUUGUGGCUGGGGGUGAAAGGCCAAUCAAACCGGGAGAUAGCUGGUUCUCCCCGAAAGCUAUUUAGGUAGCGCCUCGUGAACUCAUCUCCGGGGGUAGAGCACUGUUUCGGCAAGGGGGUCAUCCCGACUUACCAACCCGAUGCAAACUGCGAAUACCGGAGAAUGUUAUCACGGGAGACACACGGCGGGUGCUAACGUCCGUCGUGAAGAGGGAAACAACCCAGACCGCCAGCUAAGGUCCCAAAGUCAUGGUUAAGUGGGAAACGAUGUGGGAAGGCCCAGACAGCCAGGAUGUUGGCUUAGAAGCAGCCAUCAUUUAAAGAAAGCGUAAUAGCUCACUGGUCGAGUCGGCCUGCGCGGAAGAUGUAACGGGGCUAAACCAUGCACCGAAGCUGCGGCAGCGACGCUGAUGCGUUGUUGGGUAGGGGAGCGUUCUGUAAGCCUGUGAAGGUGUGCUGUGAGGCAUGCUGGAGGUAUCAGAAGUGCGAAUGCUGACAUAAGUAACGAUAAAGCGGGUGAAAAGCCCGCUCGCCGGAAGACCAAGGGUUCCUGUCCAACGUUAAUCGGGGCAGGGUGAGUCGACCCCUAAGGCGAGGCCGAAAGGCGUAGUCGAUGGGAAACAGGUUAAUAUUCCUGUACUUGGUGUUACUGCGAAGGGGGGACGGAGAAGGCUAUGUUGGCCGGGCGACGGUUGUCCCGGUUUAAGCGUGUAGGCUGGUUUUCCAGGCAAAUCCGGAAAAUCAAGGCUGAGGCGUGAUGACGAGGCACUACGGUGCUGAAGCAACAAAUGCCCUGCUUCCAGGAAAAGCCUCUAAGCAUCAGGUAACAUCAAAUCGUACCCCAAACCGACACAGGUGGUCAGGUAGAGAAUACCAAGGCGCUUGAGAGAACUCGGGUGAAGGAACUAGGCAAAAUGGUGCCGUAACUUCGGGAGAAGGCACGCUGAUAUGUAGGUGAAGUCCCUCGCGGAUGGAGCUGAAAUCAGUCGAAGAUACCAGCUGGCUGCAACUGUUUAUUAAAAACACAGCACUGUGCAAACACGAAAGUGGACGUAUACGGUGUGACGCCUGCCCGGUGCCGGAAGGUUAAUUGAUGGGGUUAGCGCAAGCGAAGCUCUUGAUCGAAGCCCCGGUAAACGGCGGCCGUAACUAUAACGGUCCUAAGGUAGCGAAAUUCCUUGUCGGGUAAGUUCCGACCUGCACGAAUGGCGUAAUGAUGGCCAGGCUGUCUCCACCCGAGACUCAGUGAAAUUGAACUCGCUGUGAAGAUGCAGUGUACCCGCGGCAAGACGGAAAGACCCCGUGAACCUUUACUAUAGCUUGACACUGAACAUUGAGCCUUGAUGUGUAGGAUAGGUGGGAGGCUUAGAAGUGUGGACGCCAGUCUGCAUGGAGCCGACCUUGAAAUACCACCCUUUAAUGUUUGAUGUUCUAACGUUGACCCGUGAUCCGGGUUGCGGACAGUGUCUGGUGGGUAGUUUGACUGGGGCGGUCUCCUCCUAAAGAGUAACGGAGGAGCACGAAGGUUGGCUAAUCCUGGUCGGACAUCAGGAGGUUAGUGCAAUGGCAUAAGCCAGCUUGACUGCGAGCGUGACGGCGCGAGCAGGUGCGAAAGCAGGUCAUAGUGAUCCGGUGGUUCUGAAUGGAAGGGCCAUCGCUCAACGGAUAAAAGGUACUCCGGGGAUAACAGGCUGAUACCGCCCAAGAGUUCAUAUCGACGGCGGUGUUUGGCACCUCGAUGUCGGCUCAUCACAUCCUGGGGCUGAAGUAGGUCCCAAGGGUAUGGCUGUUCGCCAUUUAAAGUGGUACGCGAGCUGGGUUUAGAACGUCGUGAGACAGUUCGGUCCCUAUCUGCCGUGGGCGCUGGAGAACUGAGGGGGGCUGCUCCUAGUACGAGAGGACCGGAGUGGACGCAUCACUGGUGUUCGGGUUGUCAUGCCAAUGGCACUGCCCGGUAGCUAAAUGCGGAAGAGAUAAGUGCUGAAAGCAUCUAAGCACGAAACUUGCCCCGAGAUGAGUUCU
rnacentral:rRNA from 1 species